rnacentral:rRNA from 1 species
UACGAAGGGGGCUAGCGUUGUUCGGAAUUACUGGGCGUAAAGCGCACGUAGGCGGAUAUUUAAGUCAGGGGUGAAAUCCCAGAGCUCAACUCUGGAACUGCCUUUGAUACUGGGUAUCUCGAGUAUGGAAGAGGUGAGUGGAAUUCCGAGUGUAGAGGUGAAAUUCGUAGAUAUUCGGAAGAACACCAGUGGCGAAGGCGACUAACUGGACAUGUAUUGACGCUGAGGUGCGAAAGCGUGGGGAGCAAACAGG